AUCCAGAUCCUCCUCAGAAGCCAACCACAGACUAUGUUUCACAGUAUACUGUAAGUACGUAGUUUGUACAUCACAAUUACCUGUUACCUCCCCAAUUCCAAUUGGGGCACCAUAAAUGGGUAGGGCAUGCAAAAGUAUGCCUAGGUAAAUGAAAAAUGUUUUCACUAAUACACUUACAUUUUAAGGCUCCUGCAUCCGUUCCUGCAUCAGCACCUCAGCCAUGCCUGGGUAUUGCGACAUCAGCAGCAGACACAGCACAUCCUGAAGUGACGCUUGAGGGUUGGCACAAAAUGUGGGAGUCUGGUCCUAAUGGGCUCACCAGCGCAGACAUAACGUGGCUAAAGGAGGAUGCUGAAAGGGGACUUUUUCCGAGGGCAAUGUCUUAUAAAGACAAGCACGGCAGCACGAGGUGGAGGAAAGUCCUGAAGGACAACAGAAUGUGGUUUCACCCUCCUGAAUUUCCUGAAGUGGUGGAAGGAAAAAUCCCCUCAGCAGACCCUUUCAUAGCUCGGUUGUUUUCUGGAGACCAGUUGGAGUGUUCAGUUACGGCCUUCGGGUGCCCAAGGUCUGACUGCUCUGCACGUUCCAGUCAGAAGGCCCUUUUCUACCGUUGUGGGUAUUCGAAAACUGUCAGGCAGAUCUGCCACAUGUCUGGCUGGUACUCCAUACUGACAGAAGUCCUUGCAUGCAACGCUUGCAGAAAGGUUGCAAAGGAGUCACAGAGCCGUGUUCCCUGCUGUCUUGAUGUUACAGUUAUCCGCCUGAUGAGGCAUCGCACCGAGGGCAACACCAUGGCCAAGGUGUGGAGGCAGGUCCUGGAGAACCACUGCGAGGAGUAACUGCAAAGAAAGGACUUGUACAGCAUCCUCCUCAGCCAGUACAAAAAACCUGGGAAGAUCACACGGAAUUUUUGCCAACAAUUCCAGUGACCACCAGCGAGGAGAGGGCUGCCAUGUCCAAAGCUGUUGAGAAAGGCCUUUUUUAUUGCAGAAGCAGUUAACAUGGAGGACAACCGCACACAGAUUGUCUACUUUUGGCAAAGUCCUCAAGUACAACUCCA